GACAAGAUGGCCGAGGGGUUUAAGGCGCCAGACUUAAGAUAUGUAACAACCAUCCGUAUUCUGGUAUCGAAAGAUGCGUGGGUUCGAAUCCCGCUCUUGUCA